GAUGAACGCUAGCGGCAGGCUUAACACAUGCAAGUCGAGGGGCAUCGCGGGUGGCAACACCUGGCGGCGACCGGCGAACGGGUGAGUAACGCGUGAGCAACAUGUCCUCAGUCGGGGGAUAAGCGAGGGAAACUUCGUCUAAUACCCCAUAACACUUUCAGGCGCAUGCCUUUAAGUUGAAAGCUUUUUUUGCGACUUUGGUUUGGCUCGCGUGACAUUAGCUAGUCGGUGGGGUAACGGCUCACCGAGGCUACGAUGUCUAGGGGUUCUGAGAGGAAGGCCCCCCACAUUGGGACUGGGACACGGCCCAAACUCCUACGGGAGGCAGCAGUGAGGAAUAUUGGUCAAUGGACGAAGUCUGAACCAGCCAUGCCGCGUGAAGGAAGACUGCCCUAGUGGGUUGUAAACUGCUUUUCCCCGGGGCGAAUAACCCCCUGCGAGGGGGAUGCCGGUACGGGGAAUAGGAUCGGCUACUCCGUGCCAGCACGCCGCGGUAAACUGUAGUCGU
rnacentral:rRNA from 1 species